rnacentral:rRNA from 1 species
GUGCCAGCAGCCGCGGUAAGACGAGGGGUCCAAGCGUUGUUCGGAAUUAUUGGGCGUAAAGCGGGUGUAGGUGGCUCUGUAAGUCAGGAGUGAAAGCCCCGAGCUUAACUUGGGAAGUGCUUUUGAUACUGCAGAGCUUGAGUGUGGGAGAGGAUCGUGGAAUUCCAGGUGUAGUGGUGAAAUACGUAGAUAUCUGGAGGAACACCGGUGGCGAAGGCGGCGAUCUGGCCCAACACUGACACUGAGACCCGAAAGCGUGGGGAUCAAACAGGAUUAGAAACCCUUGUAGUCC